rnacentral:rRNA from 1 species
AGAGUUUGAUCCUGGCUCAGGAUGAACGCUGGCGGCGUGCCUAACACAUGCAAGUCGAGCGGGUUAAUCUGACGGAAGCCUUCGGGUGGAAGAAAGUGAAACUAGCGGCGGACGGGUGAGUAACGCGUGGGCAACCUACCUUGUACAGGGGGACAACAACGGGAAACCGUUGCUAAUACCCCAUAAUACCCUAGAGGGGCAUCCCUUAAGGGUCAAAGAAUUUCGGUACAAGAUGGGCCCGCGUCUGAUUAGCUAGUUGGUGAGGUAAUGGCUCACCAAGGCGACGAUCAGUAGCCGACCUGAGAGGGUGAUCGGCCACACUGGAACUGAGACACGGUCCAGACUCCUACGGGAGGCAGCAGUGGGGAAUAUUGCACAAUGGGCGAAAGCCUGAUGCAGCAACGCCGCGUGAGCGAUGAAGGCCUUCGGGUCGUAAAGCUCUGUCCUAGGGGAAGAAUAUUGACGGUACCCUAGGAGGAAGCCCCGGCUAACUACGUGCCAGCCGCCGCGGUAAUAC